AGGGUUCGAUUCUGGCUCAGGAUGAACGCUGGCGGCGUGCCUAACACAUGCAAGUCGAACGAAGCACUUUACCGGAGAUUCGUCGAAGGUGAAUUGACUUAGUGGCGGACGGGUGAGUAAUGUAUGAGCAACCUGCCUUUCAGUGGGGGACAACAGUUGGAAACGACUGCUAAUACCGCAUAAUGUACAGAGGGGGCAUCCCUUUUGUACCAAAGGAGUAAUUCGCUGAAAGAUGGGCUCAUAUCUGAUUAGUUAGUUGGUGGGGUAACGGCUCACCAAGACUGCGAUCAGUAGCCGGACUGAGAGGUUGAACGGCCACAUUGGGACUGAGAUACGGCCCAGACUCCUACGGGAGGCAGCAGUGGGGAAUAUUGGGCAAUGGGCGAAAGCCCUGACCCAGCAACGCCGCGUGAAGGAAGAAGGUCUUCGGAUUGUAAACUUCUUUUAUGAGGGACGAAGGACGUGACGGUACCUCAUGAAUAAGCCACGGCUAACUACGUGCCAGCCGCCGC
rnacentral:rRNA from 1 species